ACCCGAUUGGAUAUGUGAUCCAGAAUUGGCAUCCUUUCCUUCCCAAGUAUACCAUACUGAAUGAGGAGAAAGAAGCAGUUCUGAAGAUUGUGGGGCCGCUCUGUUCAUGCAGAUGUUGCGCUGAUGUGAACUUUGAUGUUUUGUCCGUGGACGAAUCAACAAAGGUGGGCAGAAUCUCUAAACAAUGGACAGGUCUGGUGAGAAGCUUUCACUGAUGCAGACAAUUUUGGAAUCUCCUUUCCUAUGGAUCUGGACGUGAAGAUCAAAGCUGCUCUUUUCGGAGCAUGUUUUCUCAUAGACUUCAUGUUCUUUGAACACAAUAAAUAACUUUAUUUUCCGGAUGUCAU